AAUUUAAAACUUUGAGUACUGACAUGCCUGAUACCCAAAUAAAAUGCUCACUGGAGCAUUUUGGAUUUCAGAUUUGGGAUGCUCAACUGGUAAUGCAAAUAUUCCCAAACCUGAAAAAACCCGAAAUCAGAAACACUUCUGGUCCCAACCAUUUUGGAUAAGAUGUAUUUCAUAAAUUAGUAUUUCUUUUCAUAGAACUAGCAGUAAUGUAACAAUAAUAGCAUGAUGUGAUAGAGCUUGGGCUUUAAACCCAGAAAGCUGUGAAUUCACAUCUCAGGAUUUUUUUUUCUGAAGCUAAACUACAGCUGGAAUCUAGUGCAAAUAAUUUCUUUAAACAGCCAAAAUGGGAUUAAUAAUGCUUUACUCUCAGAGUUGCCAGGAGGAUUAAAUAAAAUGCCUAAUUUCACUGGCUGCCUUUUAGGAGGUGUUGAGUAAAUGUCCUCUCCUUUGCUCUCUCUUGAAUAGUUUAUUGUGGGAUAAAGCACUUUUGUAUAUACCUUCUCAUUUGAUUUUGAUUUGGAAUAAUUUCUAAUAAAUUGAGAUUUUAAAAGGUAUGUGGCUGACUCAAGGCCACCCAAGCAAAAACAAGGCAGAACCAAGGCUUGAAUUCAAAGCUUCUGGUUUCCAUCCCAGCACUCUAUGCACUAUCGGCAGUUUUCAGGAAAAUGAGCCGCAGUGUUCCAUCAUACAGCCAAUAGCAGAAACACGUGAUGAUGUAUAGGUAGAAUACAGUGACACAGUGGGCAGGGAGAUAUAUUGGGCUGAAAAUCUGAAAAACAAUACAAAUUACUAAACAUUCUGAAUGAAAAGUGAAUAAAGGGAGCAUUGCAUAUAUUUUAUCAAAUAAGCUUAUUGAGGUUGGGUGCGGUGGCUCACACCUGUAAUCCUAGCUGAGGCAGGUAGAUCGCUUCAGCUCAGGAGUUUGAGACCAGCCUGGCCAACAUGGUGAAACCCUGUUUCAAUUACAAAAAUUAGCUGGGCAUGGUGGCUCGUGCCUGUACUCCCAGCUACUUGGGGCUGAGGUGGGAGGAUCACUUGAGCCCAAAAGGCAGAGGUUGCUGCGAGCCGAGAUAACGCCACUGCACUCCAGCUGGGGCGACAGAGUGAGACCCUUUCUUAAAAAAAAAAAAAAAAACCCAAAAAACUCAAAAAACCAAAAACCAAAACCAAAUAAGCUUAUUGAUAAAAUAGGGAGAUUUUAGGCCUAAACAGUCUAGCCAUAAUACUAAGAAAAAUGGCUUUUCCUAGGCUUGAAAAUAUAACGGAAAAACAAUUUCUUUCCAGGAAGAUUCACUGACAUCUACCACUGUGAUUCUGCUUUCUGUCUCCUGCCUUGGAUGUUACAUGCAGUGUUUGAAGGAUGGUCCUUGUGUGUAGGAUGCUUGAGCUAAAAAUGCCUGCCAAAGCCACUCCUUCCUGUGCUUUGUCAUAAUUUAUUGCUAAGAUGUUUAUGUUCUCUGGUUUUGAGGUGCUAGAGAUCCUGACUAAAAGUGACUUCCUCAUAAAUGAAGAUAAGUUGAAGUCAUUGUGAGUAUUCACUACACAGCUUUGUUGAUUUUAUCCCUUUCAUAACUUGAGAUGGCUUUUUUAGCCAAGCCAUCUCAAUAGUUUGUUUCUUUUCCUCUACGAUUUACAAACUGAGCUGACCAGUUUGCCAGCAAAGUUAACUGACGCAAGAUGGUAUUCUUCGCAGCUAUUAAGUGUCCAUAAAGUCUCUUAUCUGUGUGGCAUUCUCAAGGUUAGUUUCAUUCCUGUGGCCUGUGAAUUUAAGUCAAAUAUACUGACAGUGUCAAGUCAAAUAUACUGACAGUGUCCUCACUGCAUUCUCCCCUCCAGUUUUCUUGUAACAGCUUUAGUCUCUCUACGUACUUUGUGUUUUCUGGAAACAUUUUCAGUCAAUCCUAAGCUUGAACACUCAUACUUACUGUUCUUUGAUCAUAUUCUAGAUUUUCCUACUUAGGUAUUUCUCAUGCCUUUCUCCACAUCUCUGCUCCUUGAAAUGCUACUUAUUCUUCAAAAGGCAGCUUAAAUGGCCUCUUAGCUACACUCCCAACGACAAAACAAUAAUGAUUUUUCCUAAAUCCUGAAGCAUUUGGCUUGGAUAUUUUUAUGAAACUUAUUAGAACAUUCUGUAAAAUAGUUACCUGUGCUCAGAUCUGAUCUUUAUUUUUUAAGUUCCUUCAAGGCAAAGAUUGUUUUAAAUUUCUCAUAAAUGCUUAACACAAAUGUCAUUAAAUUUGUCAGUAAUUCUAUAUUGACAAAUUAAGUUCUAUAUUUCCCACAGUUGGAAUUUAGAACAAAAUGUGAUUAAAACUUUUGCUAGUCUUGGCCAGGCGCGGUGGCUCACGCCUGUAAUACCGGAAUUUUGGGAGGCCGGAGGCGAGCGGAUCACCUGAGGUCAGGAGUUCAAGACCAGCCUGGUGAAACCCCAUCCCUACUAAAAAUACAAAAAUUAGCUGGGUGAGGUGGCACACGCCUGUAGUCCCAGCUCCUUGGGAGGCUGAGGCAGGAGAAUCGCUUGAACCUGGGAGGUGGAGGUUGCAGUGAGCCAAGAUGGUGCCACUGCACUCCAGUGUGGGCAGCAGAGUGAGACUGUCUCAAAUACAACAACAACAACAAAAGUUUUGCUAAUCUGAUGUAUGAUGAGUCAACAAUCAAUAAUUUGGCAAUUUCAUGACUCGAGUGUCAAAAAGAUGUACCUAAACACACCGUUGUCUAUAGAAAAUGAAUAAAAAAUUAGUGAUUUUAUUACUUUAUAUGAACUUCAAAAAGGGGCUGGGUGCAAUGGCUCACGCCUGUAAUCCUAGCACUUUGGGAGGCCAAAGCAGUGGGGAUUGCUUGAGUCUAGGAGUUUGAGACCAGCCUCGGCAACAUGGCAAAACCCCAUCUCUACAAAAAUUACAAAAUUAGCUGGGCAUGGUGCUGGUGCAUGCCUGUAGUCCCAACUACUCAGGGGGCUGAGGCUGGAGGAUCGCUUGAGCCCAGUUGGAGGCUGCAGUGAGCUGAGAUCACGCCGCUGUACUCCAGCCUGGGUGACAGUGUAAGACCCUGUCUCAUAAAUAAAUAAAUAAAGUUAAAAAUGCUGCUAGUUAAAAUAGAAGUUAAUUUCCUAAAUGCUUUCUUCUGUCUUUGGUAUGAAUAUAUUUACCUACGAAUAUAUAUAUAUAUAUUUAUGAUCUUCUGCUUAGGGUUUAAGAUUCCAACAUUGCACUUCAUUACUAUUCUUAUUUUCUCUAACAGUUUUGAAAAUUAUGAAUGUGUUGUGUUAGUAAAUUUCUUUCUGAGGAAAACUGGACUUUUA
rnacentral:lncRNA from 1 species